rnacentral:tRNA from 1 species
GUCGCUUUGGCCGAGUGGUUAAGGCGUGUGCCUGCUAAGUACCUGGGUUCAUCCCGCGAGAGUUCGAAUCUCUCAGGCGACG